AUGGUCAGUGACCUGAUCGAUGAGGUCAACUGGACCUGGAAGCAUGAUCUUGUGCGCGACACCUUCAUCGCGCCAGAUGCAGAAGCAAUCUUGAACAUCCCAUUCCGGCAGGGUGGUGGAGAAGAUAUCUUGGCUUGGGCACACGAGAGAACCGGCAUCUACUCUGUUAAAUCAGCCUAUCGAGCUUUGAUGAACAAAAAAGAGCGCUUAGCUCUUGAAGAGGGGCAGAUAGCGACGCCAUCAAUGAGUAAACAACAGAUGUGGAGCCAACUAUGGAAACUCAAAGUUGUCCCAAAAGUCCGGGUAUUC
rnacentral:rRNA from 1 species